rnacentral:rRNA from 1 species
AUUGAACGCUGGCGGUAGGCUUAACACAUGCAAGUCGAGCGGGGAAGGUUGCUUUGGUAACUGACCUAGCGGCGGACGGGUGAGUAAUGCUUAGGAAUCUGCCUAUUAGUGGGGGACAACAUUCCGAAAGGAAUGCUAAUACCGCAUACGCCCUAUGGGGGAAAGCAGGGGAUCUUCGACCCUUGCGCUAAUAGAUGAGCUUAAGUCGGAUUAGCUAGGUGGUGGAGUAAAGGCCUACCAAGGCGACGAUCUGUAGCGGGUCUGAGAGGUUGAUCCGCCACACUGGGACUGAGACACGGCCCAGACUCCUACGGGAGGCAGCAGUGGGGAAUAUUGGACAAUGGGCGGAAGCCUGAUCCAGCCAUGCCGCGUGUGUGAAGAAGGCCUUUUGGUUGUAAAGCACUUUAAGCGAGGAGGAGGCUCCUUUAGUUAAUACCUAAAGAGAGUGGACGUUACUCGCAGAAUAAGCACCGGCUAACUCUGUGCCAGCAGCCGCCGUAA